rnacentral:rRNA from 1 species
CAGCAGCCACGGUAAUACAGAGGGUGCGAGCGUUAAUCGGAUUUACUGGGCGUAAAGCGUGCGUAGGCGGCUUCUUAAGUCGGAUGUGAAAUCCCUGAGCUUAACUUAGGAAUUGCAUUCGAUACUGGGAAGCUAGAGUAUGGGAGAGGAUGGUAGAAUUCCAGGUGUAGCGGUGAAAUGCGUAGAGAUCUGGAGGAAUACCGAUGGCGAAGGCAGCCAUCUGGCCUAAUACUGACGCUGAGGUACGAAAGCAUGGGGAGCAAACAGGAUUAGAUACCCCUGUAGUCCCUGUCUUUAUACC